rnacentral:rRNA from 1 species
GAACAAAAAAUCCUCCGAGCGAUUUUUAAGAUAAGACACACAAGUCAAAUCAAAUUAUCGUUUAAUUGAUCCAAAAACUUGAUCAACGGAACA